AACCUCGUACCCAGGGCAUUUUGCUUUCCACUCAGCGAAAAUGGGAAGCAUUUUCGCUGAAAGGGAAGCAAAUUGCCCUGGGUACGAGGUU